rnacentral:lncRNA from 1 species
GAGGGAGGAAGCUGGGGCCAGGGCCAAGGGUCCUAGGCUUCCCCUCAGAACCCUUCAGUCUCUGGGGGUUGGGAUGGAGGAAAGCGUCAGAUACCUGAUGACCCCAACCCACGAGGGACCUUAGGCUUGGGAAGGGCUAUAGGAUCACAGUGGGUCCAGGGGGACCUCACCCUAUGGGUUCCUUUUGGCACUGGAGCCUCCAGAGUGGCCUGCUUCUCCGGCAGCAGGACCAGGGACCUGACCCCUGGCAGCCUCUGUGUCCAAAAUGACCCUUUUCCCAGAAGCCAAGAAAUGGCAAUGGGGCGGGGGCCAUGGAUGAGGCUGAGGACUUCUCCAGCGACCCCAGCCAGCCUCAUGGGCUAAGAGUUUAGAGCUCAGACAAGCCUGGGUCUGAGCCUCGACACUUACUGUCCCGCGUGACUUGUCCUCUCUGGAAAGAUCCUGUUGCUUCCUGCCUGGGCAGGGCUGGGGCCAGGGCUUGCCGGCUUUGGGGACCCACCCAGCGCAGUCUGGACUGGGCUGGCCUCAAAGGUCCCAACCUCUGAGCCUCCCCUGACCCACCAUCCAGCACCGCUCCCCCGGCCGCCUGGCUGAGACUCACGAGAAUGACAUGAGUCAUUCACAGCAGCUGUGGACAUUUACAGAGCCUCCCAGCUGCUGGCCCAGCCAAGUGCUAUGCCAGCAGUCUCUCCCCUCCUCACGGGAGUGUCACCCCUGUUCACACCUGAGGACACGGCUCAGAGCAGGAAGGGAUAAAGGUGGAUGAGAGAAUGAAGCUCAGCUCCACUUCCCCGCUAGGAGGAAAUGAGGCAGAGAAGAGAGGCAACUCGGCAUCAGUUGUCCACGGGACAGUCCCAAGCCUGGAUUUGAACACAGGUGGAGAUGUGAUGUCAUUUUAGUACUCUUUUUGAGAAGUUGAC